GAUGAACGCUGGCGGCGUGCCUAAUACAUGCAAGUCGAGCGAACAGACGAGGAGCUUGCUCCUUUGACGUUAGCGGCGGACGGGUGAGUAACACGUGGAUAACCUACCUAUAAGGCUGGGAUAACUUCGGGAAACCGGAGCUAAUACCGGAUAACAUGUUGAACCGCAUGGUUCAACAGUGAAAGACGGUCUUGCUGUCACUUAUAGAUGGAUCCGCGCCGCAUUAGCUAGUUGGUAAGGUAACGGCUUACCAAGGCAACGAUGCGUAGCCGACCUGAGAGGGUGAUCGGCCACACUGGAACUGAGACACGGUCCAGACUCCUACGGGAGGCAGCAGUAGGGAAUCUUCCGCAAUGGGCGAAAGCCUGACGGAGCAACGCCGCGUGAGUGAAGAAGGUCUUCGGAUCGUAAAACUCUGUUAUUAGGGAAGAACAAAUGUGUAAGUAACUAUGCACGUCUUGACGGUACCUAAUCAGAAAGCCACGGCUAACUACGUG
rnacentral:rRNA from 1 species